AUUCUAAAAUUACCUACAUCAACUAAUUUAUUUGGAUUGGCUUUAAGCACAUCAUUCUCCAGUUCUUCUAGAGUUGCUCUACAAACUAUAAGAUCAACUUCCGCAUCAACAGAUGUAUAUUCCGCUAAUGAGAAUAGAGCGAAGAGCAGCAAAGUUCUCAUCUGCAAGGAAAUGUGAACUUCGAAUUAUAUAGUAUCCGUCACGAGAAGUGGAUGUGUUUACUGUAAAUCUGCCACGUGCGUUAUGCUUGUGAGAAAAUAUCUUACCUUGUACGUCAAGUUCAUAUUAAUCAAAUUACAAUAAUCUUUUAGUUAUACUUUUCUACAAUAAUAUAUUUAAAACUCUCAACAACACACAGGUGACGCGUGUAACGUACACAUUGAUGUACAUCUUCUAAUCUCGCAAGAUAUUGUGUAAAACGUGGUUUCAUACGAACGAAUGACAAUUCGUAACGUGUAAUUCCGGUAAUGCCAACUGUUCAACUUGAAAAUGCUUUAUCCAAGAGAAAUUUUCCAUCAAAAUAAUAAAUACAUAAUGUAGUACCUACAAUCUGAUAUUAAUAAUAAUAUAGACAAUGGU
rnacentral:lncRNA from 13 species